AUACGGAGGGAGCGAGCGUUAAUCGGAAUUACUGGGCGUAAAGCGCGCGUAGGCGGCUUUGUAAGUCGGAUGUGAAAGCCCAGGGCUCAACCCUGGAAUUGCAUUCGAUACUGCAGAGCUAGAGUAUGGUAGAGGGAAGUGGAAUUUCCGGUGUAGCGGUGAAAUGCGUAGAUAUCGGAAGGAACACCAGUGGCGAAGGCGACUUCCUGGGCCAAUACUGACGCUGAGGUGCGAAAGCGUGGGGAGCAAACAGGAUUAGAUACCCGAGUAGUCC
rnacentral:rRNA from 1 species